AAUUAGGUGUCUCAGGAGUGAUGU
rnacentral:piRNA from 1 species